UAAUACACUGAAUGUAAGUCGCUCUGGAUAAGAGCAUCUGCUAAAUGACCAAAA
rfam:Salmo salar isolate Sally breed double haploid chromosome ssa11, whole genome shotgun sequence.